rnacentral:piRNA from 1 species
UGUCAGAAUCUGUGAGACCUACAAGUGGUC